UACGAAGGGGGCGAGCGUUGUUCGGAUUUACUGGGCGUAAAGGGCGCGCAGGCGGCUUUGUUUGUCAGGCGUGAAAGCCCCGGGCUUAACCUGGGAACUGCGCUUGAGACUGGCGGGCUAGAGUUCGGGAGAGGAUGGUGGAAUUCCCAGUGUAGAGGUGAAAUUCGUAGAUAUUGGGAAGAACACCGAUGGCGAAGGCAGCCAUCUGGACCGACACUGACGCUGAGGCGCGAAAGCGUGGGGAGCAAACAGG
rnacentral:rRNA from 1 species